rnacentral:rRNA from 1 species
UCAAAAACAUGUCUUUUUGAUAAUAAUUUAAAGUCUAAUCUGCCCACUGAUAUAAUUAUUAAAGGGCUGCAGUAUAUUGACUGUACAAAGGUAGCAUAAUCAUUAGUCUUUUAAUUGAAGACUUGUAUGAAAGAUUUGAUGAGAUAUAAACUGUCUCUAUUUUAAGAAUAAAAUUUAAUUUUUUAGUUAAAAAGCUAAAAUGUAGUUAAAAGACGAGAAGACCCUAUAAAGUUUUAUAUUUUAUUUAUUUAUUAUUAAAUAUAAAAUUAAAUAUAAUAUUUAAAUAAAAUAUUUUAUUGGGGUGAUAGAAAAAUUUAAUAAACUUUUUUUUAAAUAUAUACAUAUAUAAGUGAAAUAAUGAUCCAUUAUUAAUGAUUAAAAGAAAAAAUUACUUUAGGGAUAACAGCGUAAUAUUUUUUUUUAGUACAAAUAAAAAGGAAAGUUUGCGACCUCGAUGUUGGAUUAAGAUAAAAUUUAAAUGCAAAAGUUUAAAAUUUUGAUCUGUUCGAUCAUUAAAAUCUUACAUGAUCUUAGCU